CAUAUUUUGAAUAUAAAAUUAACUUUAUUUUCAUUAUUUAGUUAAAAUAGGCGGGUCAAUUUAUAUCUCGUCCAAUUGGGUUUUUAUAAUAGUUGUAACUCAUUUUCAGUUUGAUCCAAACGCAUAAUAUACUAAUAAUACCUUUCAAUUAUACAAUUAAAUAUGAAAAAAAUGUCAAUAUAAAUUUGAUCCAACAUAGUAUAUUAAUAUACAUAUAUAUAUAUAUAUAUAUAUAUACAUCCAAUUUUUUUGUAUAGUUACGUAACUGCUUCAACACACAUUUAAUAAAUAUAUACAUAACACCAAACAGUAACGGUAACAAAAUAUAUGAUAUACAAUCGUUACAUGAACACCCGUACGACCGCACUGGUCAAACUCUAGUAUUCCUUAUAAUGUGUCCAUGAUCCCACUAUAUCCUAAAAACUGCCUAAUCUAUUCUAUUAAAAAAAGCAAUGUGAUCGAUUGGUAAAAAUAGGUCUAACCGUUAUUAUUUCAAUAAUACAUACUUAAAUAAAAAUACUAAUUGCAUCAAAAUAUAUAUUAUGUAACACCACUUCAAUCGCAUAAUAAUCGGGAACUGCAUCAAAAUUUAAUCAAACACAAACAUAUGAGAAAAAUUGCGGGAUAACAACUUCGAACUCGCCGGUGAGAAAAUCAAAGACGGGAUUGAUCGGUUUCGGAGAUGGAGAAAGUCGGAGAGAAGAGCUGUGUGCAGAGGUAGACGAGGGGAGGGAAAUCUUCGUCGGAUAUUCCUUCAGAUUUUAGGAAGUUCACGGCGGAGAGGAUGUGGGGGAGGUUGUCCACCGGCAGAGCAAGUCUUGAUUCUGAGAGAUUACUCCAAGGGAAGAGAGGUAUUAGAUUUUCGCGGUGAGAAGUCUGAAACUUGAGAUAGAGAGGUCUAGAGCUUGGAGGAGUAAAGGAAGAUGAGGAGAGGGAGGAUAUAGGUUGAAGACGAAGUGAAGCAGUUACAGUAGCCAUUGAUUCCGUCGUCGCUUCUCUAUCCUCAUCCCGGUUCGAUUUUAUAUCUACAAUAAACCAGAAAUAAGGUUUGAACCGGUUCAGAUCUAUGGGCGAUAACUAUAUUGGGCUAAUUUGAAAGCCCAUCAUUAUAAAACCCUAGACGGUCGUCUUGAGUGUUUUGUCGGGAGAUGAAAAAAUAUUGGGCCAUGGGUCUUGAUUUACAAUAUCCAUUUUAAAUUAUAAUGUGUAAUAUUUUUUGUUAAGACAUAUUAUAAUGUCUAAUAUUUUUUGUUUGCUGUAAUAUUAUGUGUACUAUUAUGUAUAAUAAUAACAUUAUUAUGGUUAUAUAUGAAAUAAAAUUAGGAAAAUUUAAUGAAAAAC
rnacentral:lncRNA from 1 species